rnacentral:rRNA from 1 species
GAUGAACGCUGACAGAAUGCUUAACACAUGCAAGUCUUUGGCGAAGCUGUGCUUGCACAGCCCAGCCAAGGCGGACGGGUGAGUAACGCGUAAGGAACUUGCCCUGCAGUCAGGGAUAACAGACGGAAACGACUGAUAAGACCUGGUAAAGUCAGGCGGACUCAUGUCCAGCCUGAUGAAAAGAGAUGCUGCAGGAGAGCCUUGCGUCCUAUUAGCUUGUUGGUGGGGUAACGGCCCACCAAGGCGAUGAUAGGUAGCCGGCCUGAGAGGGUGGACGGCCACAAGGGGACUGAGAUACGGCCCUUACUCCUACGGGAGGCAGCAGUGGGGAAUAUUGGACAAUGGGGGCAACCCUGAUCCAGCAAUUCUGCGUGCACGAUGAAGGUUUUCGGAUUGUAAAGUGCUUUCAGCAGGGAAGAAAAAAAUGACGGUACCUGCAGAAGAAGCGACGGCUAAAUACGUG